AGGACUAACGCUGGCGGCGUGCCUAACACAUGCAAGUCGAACGAGGUAGCAAUACCUAGUGGCAGACGGGUGAGUAACACGUAGUCAACCUUCCCGAUAGUGGGGGAUAACUAGCCGAAAGGUUAGCUAAUACCGCAUACGAUCUUCGAGUGGCAUCAUUUGAAGAUGAAAGGAGCAAUCCGCUUUCGGACGGGACUGCGUCCCAUUAGCUAGAUGGUGGGGUAAUGGCCUACCAUGGCAACGAUGGGUAGCUGGUUUGAGAGAGCGACCAGCCACACUGGGACUGAGAAACGGCCCAGACUCCUACGGGAGGCAGCAGUGAGGAAUUUUUCCGCAAUGGGCGAAAGCCUGACGGAGCGACGCCGCGUGUGGGAAGAAGGCCUUCGGGUCGUAAACCACUGUCGAAGGGGAAAAUACUGAUGGUACCCUUGGAGGAGCCCGGCUAACUACGUGCCAGCAGCCGC
rnacentral:rRNA from 1 species